GUUAUUUAAGGGCGCAUGGUGGAUGCCUUGGCAUACUGGGCCGAUGAAGGACGUGUAAGGCUGCGUUAAGCCUCGGGGAGUUGUCAAUUAAGCGUUGAUCCGAGGAUGUCCGAAUGGGGAAACCCGCCUGCCGUUAUGGGUAGGUACCUGCUGAUGAAUUCAUAGUCAGUGUGGGGGUUAUACGUGGGGAAGUGAAACAUCUUAGUACCUGCAGGAGGAGAAAAUAAUAAUGAUUCUGCUAGUAGCGGCGAGCGAACGUGGAUGAGGCUAAACCGUGUGUAUGUGAUACUUGGUAGGGGUUGUGCAUGCGGUGUUGUGGGGCCAUGAUUUUCUGUUUCUACCAGAACAGAGCGCGCAACAUGUUGUUAGGUGAAGUGGGUUGGAAUGCCCGGCCGUAGAAGGUGAGAGCCCUGUAGGUGAAGGCAAUGUGUGGUGUGUGUUGUGGUGCCCGAGUAGCAGCGGGCUCGUGGAAUCUGCUGUGAAUCUGCCGGGACCACCCGGUAAGCCUAAAUACUCAGUGUGACCGAUAGUGUAUGAGUACCGUGAGGGAAUGGUGAAAAGUACCCCGGGAGGGGAGUGAAAUAGUUCCUGAAACCAUGUGUCUACAAUCCGUCAGAGCCCCUUUUGUGGGUGAUGGCGUGCCUUUUGAAGAAUGAGCCUGCGAGUCAGCGGCAUGUCGCGAGGUUAACCCGUGUGGGG
rnacentral:rRNA from 1 species